rnacentral:lncRNA from 1 species
GGUUACACCAACAGGGCAAAGAAACAGCGUCUCUUUAGACCACCUAUUUGUGCUGAUGGCAGCACCAACCUCAAUUUUAAGAAACUCACCCAUUACCAAAAAGAAAAUUGUUUUUCGCUUGACAUUUCAACACCACGUUCGGAAAACCUUUGCGAAAAUUACGAAGGCUUUUCCUUUCCUCUUCUUUACAUACAUUCUCUAAGCGACACACACACGCACAGGACAGAACAGCCCGCCGAUCGCGCCGAGCGGGGACGGUCUCGGGACGCGCUGCCAAACGCACAAAGAAAUCCGCCGGCUGCGAGCACGGGCACGGCAUCUUUGUCACCAACUUCUGCCAGUCGCUCCCUCAGCCCAAUUCCGCCGCCGGGAGCAGCCGCGCCUCCCGCCCCGUCCCCGCCCGCCGGAGGAGCCGGCCACGGCCACCCCAGGCCCGUGGCGGAGCGGCCGGGGCCCGCGACGCGGCCCGAGUGGCGGCGGCAGCGCGUUCCCGGAGCCAGAGCGCCCCCUGCCGGUACCGCGGGCCGAGGCGGGCGCCGCCCGGCCUGGGCACCGAGCCGGCCCGACCCGAGCUGGGCUGUGCCGCGGGGACGCCCGGGGGUUGAAGGCCUGCGGAGAGGCCCCGGAGGUCCGCGUGGGCCCUGCUCGUCCCGGCCAGCACCGCCUACUACCCGGGUGCCUCCGGGAAACGUUCUCAGGCGGGGUUUUUGCUCGCCCCUCGUGGCCUGGCAGCAGUGGGAUCCCUGCUUCUUCCCGCCUUGGGUUAUUCCCCCAGUGCCAGGACACGUUGGAGCAAUGUCGGCAAACGCCGGUUUCUCCCACAAGGACUUCUCGUCCCAAAGACACAGGUGUAACACGAGCAGGAACCAGCCCAGAGAAGCCACAGAUCCGUGGGGCCGAAGGUGGCCUGCAGCAGCCCAUGUUCACACCUGGAGUCAGGCUCCGUGCCUGCAGAACACGGGGAAAUUAAGCAGCCUGUGCUCUUACCUAUUGCUGUGGCCUCAAGUAUGCCAUUCUUUUUGA